rnacentral:rRNA from 1 species
UACGUAGGUGGCAAGCGUUGUCCGGAUUUACUGGGCGUAAGGAGCGCGCAGGCGGUCGUUCAAGUCGCGUGUGAAAGCCCCCGGCUCAACUGGGGAGGGUCACGCGAUACUGAUCGACUCGAAGGCAGGAGAGGGUAGUGGAAUUCCCGGUGUAGUGGUGAAAUGCGUAGAUAUCGGGAGGAACAUCAGUGGCGAAGGCGGCCAUCUGGGACAACACUGACGCUGAGGAGCGAAAGCGUGGGGAGCGAACAGG